UACAGAGGGUGCAAGCGUUAAUCGGAAUUACUGGGCGUAAAGCGUGCGUAGACGGUUACAUAAGUCGGGUGUGAAAGCCCCGGGCUCAACCUGGGAAUUGCAUUCGAGACUGCGUAGCUAGGGUGCGGAAGAGGGAAGCGGAAUUUCCGGUGUAGCGGUGAAAUGCGUAGAUAUCGGAAGGAACACCAGAGGCGAAGGCGGCUACCUGGACAAUUGCUGACGCUCAGGCACGAAAGCGUGGGGAGCAAACGGG
rnacentral:rRNA from 1 species